UACGAAGGGGGCUAGCGUUGCUCGGAUUGACUGGGCGUAAAGGGCGCGUAGGCGGUUCGUACAGUCAGACGUGAAAUCCUGGGCUCAACCUGGGGGCUGCGUUUGAUACGUGCGGACUUGAGUGCGGAAGAGGGUCGUGGAAUUCCCAGUGUAGAGGUGAAAUUCGUAGAUAUUGGGAAGAACACCGGUGGCGAAGGCGGCGACCUGGUCCGAUACUGACGCUGAGGCGCGAAGCGUGGGGAGCAAACAGG
rnacentral:rRNA from 1 species